GAGAGCACUAGCUUGCUGUGGCCCCCUCUGCCUGGCAAAGCAAUAAAGCUAUUCUUUUCUACUUCACCCAUAACUCUGUCCCCGAGAUUCAGUUCACUGCCAGUGUAUGGAAGCAGAGUUUCCCAAACACCUGCUAAAGCCUGAGAAUAGGCCCAGGGCGCCGAGGCCAAGGGAGCCCUGAGUUCCCACCAUGUCUCCGGCAGACGCUGGAAUAGAAAUUUUUCAAAGGCAUAAUCUUGACCUACCUGGUACUUCGGUGCCCAGCUCAGCAGGUGCCCGAUGGCUUCGCACGUGCCUCCCACGCGGCGCCGGGAGUUCUGCACACACCGCCCGCACCCACCCCUCCGCGAGCCAAACACAGGGGCCUGUUUCACGUGGCCAUCAGACUGUACCGCUCCCGCGAUUAAGACCCUUCAAGGCUUACCCACGGCAGCUGGAAUAAAAUCAGCGGAUCGGGCCCGUGGCAGCUUCCCCCAAGCCCCCUCAAGCUCCCCCGACUCCCCCUUUGCCUCCCGCCACUCACAUCGCUCUCUUCCUCCUCUGGACCUGCACCCAGCCAGCCCUCUGAUUGGCAGCCUCUUCCCCCUGGAAGCUCCACGUGGAUAUUCUCUUCUGGUAUCUAAUGCCUCCUCCUCUGGAAACCUUUCUGAUCACCCCCCACGCCCACCGUAACUCUCAAGGGGUCCUCCCCUGGCCACGUGUUCACUGUCCAUCAGCCUCUCCCAGCUCUAAACUCUACAGGAGCAGGGAGCUUGCCAAGCCAUCCACCCGCAUAACCCAGUGCCUGGCAGAGAAGAGGGCACAUACAUGUUCAAUAAAUAUUUGAGGGAGAGAGAAAAGGCGACGAUGAGAAGACAGAUGCAGCCCUUAUGGAAGAACCGUCAGUAAUUAUGAACGUAAUUUGUCAUGAUAAUAGCCAACACCAGGAGAGGCCCAAUCGGAGCAUGCGCAGAAACUGAGGCUGGGGUUCAGUAAUUCGUCCCGCGUCCACAGGAGGUAAGCGGCGCACCUGGAGCCUGAACCUGGGCUUCCCUGCAGAGAUCAUGCCCUCAGCCUCCACUAAGGAGGCCCUAGAGGUCCAGCACCCAGGGGAAGGGACACACCUCUGCAGGGAAUACAAGGCAGCCACUUAACAGAUGUCUGUAUUUUCUGACACGGAGAGAUGUCCUUGAUGGGACAGUGGGGGAAAGAAGUAAGUGAACCCAUGCUCUAAGCCCAUUUUGGGAAAACAUCAAACAACAACCAGACGUGACUGUUCACACACAGAAACCUGGCGGGAAGGACACAGAACGCGGCCGCCACCGGCUCCGGCUGGAAGGGCUGUCCCGGUUCUCCUGCUCCAGGCUCUGGGCACGCGGAUCUCCUCCUCCGGACCCACCAGGCUGCCUGCCCUGUCUAAAGUCACAGCGCCCCACCUCCCCGGGCCCUGACUCGGCUUUCGCGAGGCACAUACUGAUAUCACAGCGCACACUUACUUGUUGAACACUGACUCUGUGCCGGUAAAAGUAAACUGAAAAAGAAAAAAUAGAUUUCCCGUGGGACCCAAAAAAAAAAAGUCGCACCCAUCCCCCACCGACCACCCAUCCCCCACCCCACCCCCACUCUUUCUUAGAGUCUGUCCCUUAAGAAACUUGUUCAUGCUCUCUGCCCCUUUGAGAUGGAUAGAAAAAUCCGAAAAGGUGAAGUAAGCCGCUUACCAGUCUUCACAACCCAGAAAUGUGUUGGGAGCCUGAAAGCUGUCUUUUUGAAGUGUAAACAUUAAGGAAGCUAGUAGCCUAUCUCCUAGACCAGGUGAGGGCUUCCUUAGGUGACUAGCUCUGUGCUAUAAUUACCUGUUUAUAGACUUGGGGUAGGGGGGGCGUAAACCGCCUCCCCAAUUACCGGUGGAUCUGGGAUGAACUAUGUGUGACAAAUGGUGCCCUCUGGUCCUCUAACCUGAGAACUAGUUAUUUUUGUCUUUGGAUGUGGUAUCUGCUUCGUGAACUAAAGACGGGAGCUUUCUUUCUGUCUCUGCCAUCUCUGUAUCUUAAUUAAUGCUCAUUCGAUAAUAAAGCUCUUUUCUUUCUCUUCCCCUUUUGUGGAAAGGUUUUCUGGGUCAGCAGGAGAUUUUGUUUUGAAUUCUCCCCCCCCCACCCCUCCCUGCCUGGCAUCUCUCCCUUUAGAACAUGAGCUCCGUGGGACCUUGUCUCCCGAGUUCAUGGGCGUGUGCCUGGUGCUCAGCAGGUGCUCAAAACCUGUUUGUUGAAUGAAUAAACAAAGUUGCUGGUCGUUUCA